AUUGAACGCUGGCGGCAGGCCUAACACAUGCAAGUCGAGCGGAUGAAGGGAGCUUGCUCCUGGAUUCAGCGGCGGACGGGUGAGUAAUGCCUAGGAAUCUGCCUGGUAGUGGGGGAUAACGUCCGGAAACGGGCGCUAAUACCGCAUACGUCCUGAGGGAGAAAGUGGGGGAUCUUCGGACCUCACGCUAUCAGAUGAGCCUAGGUCGGAUUAGCUAGUUGGUGGGGUAAAGGCCUACCAAGGCGACGAUCCGUAACUGGUCUGAGAGGAUGAUCAGUCACACUGGAGCUGAGACACGGUCCAGACUCCUACGGGAGGCAGCAGUGGGGAAUAUUGGACAAUGGGCGAAAGCCUGAUCCAACCAUGCCGCGUGUGUGAAGAAGGUCUUCGGAUUGUAAAGCACUUUAAGUUGGGAGGAAGGGCAGUAAGUUAAUACCUUGCUGUUUUGACGUUACCAACAGAAUAAGCACCGGCUAACUUCGUG
rnacentral:rRNA from 1 species